UCUUCAUCUUUUAUAAAAUGACCCGUUGAAGCAGCUGAGACCGACCCUUCUCGCCGCCUGGAGCCAACACCGCCCUCCUGGUUCCCAGCGGUCUUCCGCCGUCCCGGUUCCACCUCCGUUGAGCAGUUGUAGAUUCUGGCACUCGCUCUCCUCCUCUCACGGAAAAGGUCGCGGCCUGUGGCCCCGCGGGCAGCCGUGCCGAGAUGAACCCCAGCGCUCCCAGCUACCCCACCGCCUCGCUCUACCUGGGGGACCUCCACCCCGAAGUGACCGAGGCGAUGCUCUACGAGAAGUUCAGCCGGACCGCGCCCAUCCUCUCAUCCCGGUCUGCAGGGACAUGAUCACCCGCCGCUCCUUGGGCUAUGUGAAUUUCCAGUAUGUGAACUUCCAGUAUGUGAACUUCCAGCAGCCGGCAGACGUGGAGUGUGCUUCAGACGCCAUGAAUUUUGAUGUUACAAAGGGCAAGCCAGUUCGCAUCAUGUGGUCUGAGUGAUCCAUCACUUCGCAGAAGUGGAGUAGGGAACAUAUUCAUUGAAACUUUGGACAAACCCCUUGACAAUAAAGCCCUGUAUGACACAUUUUCUACAUUUGGUAACAUCCUUUCACGUAAGGUUGAGUGUGAUGAAAAUGGCUCCAAGGGCUACGGGUUUGUACGUUUUGAGACACAGGAAGCAGCUGAAAGAGCUAUUUUUAAAAUGAAUGGAAUGUUUCUAAAUGAUCGCAAAGUAUUUGUUGGACGAUUUAAGUCUCGUAAGGAACGGGAAGCAGAGCUUGGAGCUGGGGCAAAAGAGUCCACCGACGUUUACAUCGAAAACUUCGGAGAAGACAUGGAUGAUGAGCGCCUUAAGGAUCUCUUUGGCAAGUUUGGGCCUGCCUUAAGUGUGAAAGUAAUGACUGAUGAAAGUGGAAAAUCCAAGGGAUUUGGAUUUGUAAGCUUUGAAAGGCAUGACGUGCACAGAAAGCUGUGGUUGAGAUGAGUGGAAAGGAGCUCAAUGGGAAACAAAUUUAUGUUGGUCGGCUCAGAAAAAAGUGGAACACCAGCCGGAACUUGAGCACAAAUUUGAACAGAUGAAGCAAAGAUAGGAUCACCAGACACCAGGGUGUUAACCUUUAUGUGAAAAAUCUUGAUGAUGGUAUUGAUGGUGAACGUAUCCAGAAAAAGUUUCCUCCAUUUGGUGCAAUCACUAGUGCAAAGGUUAUGAUGGAGGGUGGUCGCAGCAAAGGAUUUGGUUUUGUGUGUUUCUCCUCCCCAGAAGAAGCCACUAAAGCAGUUACAGAAAUGAAUGGUAGAAUUGUGGCCACCAAGCCACUGUUUGUAGCUUUAGCUCAGCGCAAGGAAGAGCACCAGGCUCACCUCACUAACCAGUACAUGCAGAGAAUGGCGAGUGUCCAAGCUGUGCCCAAGCUGUGCCCAACCCCGUGAUCAGCCCCUACCAGCUAGCUCCUCCUUCAGGUUACUUCAUGGCAGCUGUCCCCCAGACACAGAACGGUGCUGCAUACUAUCCUCCUAGCCAAAUUGCUCAACUAAGACCAAGUCCUCGCUGUACUGCUCAGGAUGCCAGACCUCAUCCAUUCUAAAAUAUGCCCGGUGCUAUCUGCCCAGCUGCUCCUAGACCACCAUUUAGUACUAUGAGACCAAAUUCCUCACAGGUUCCACAGUCAUGUCAACACAGCGUGUUGCUAACACAUCAACACAGACGAUGGGGUCCACACCCUGCAGCAGCUGCUACUGCAGCUACUCCUGCUGUCCGCACCAUUCCCCAGCAUAAAUAUGCUGCGGGAGUCUGCAGUCCCCAGCAACAUCUUAAUCCACAGCCACAAGUCACCAUGCAACAGCCUGCUGUUCACAUACAAAGUCAAGAACCGUUAACUCCUUCCAUGUUGGCAUCUGCCCCCGCCCAGCAAAAGCAAAUGUUGGGUGAAUGGCUGUUUCCUCUCAUUCAAGCCAUGUACCCUACUCUGCUGGUAAAAUCACUGGCAUGCUGUUGGAGAUUGAUAACUCAGAAUUACUUCACAUGCUUGAGUCUCCAGAGUCUCUCUGCUGGAAGGUUGAUGAAGCUGUAGCUGUACUACAAGCUCACCAAGCUAAAGAAGCUGCCCAGAAAGCAGUUAACAGUGCCACUGGUGUUCCAACUGUUUAAAGUGAUCAGGGACCAGGAAGAGAAACUCAUGCUUCACUGAAGAAAAAUGUCUAAACAUCGAAAAAUUUAAAUAUUAUGAAAAAAAUUGAAAAAUAUGAAAUAAAAAAG